rnacentral:snoRNA from 1 species
UGCAGUGAUGAUGGGUUUAUAAAUCUCGUUAAUCUGAAUUUUUUUUAUGAAGAGACUUACUUCCCAACCAUUCAUUCUAUAUCUGAGC